GCCGGCGUAGCCCAACGGGAGAGGCGCAACUUUUAGGUAGUUGACAGUGCGGGUUCGAAUCCCGCCGCCGGCACCA
rnacentral:tRNA from 1 species